UACGAAGGGUGCAAGCGUUACUCGGAAUUACUGGGCGUAAAGCGUGCGUAGGUGAUUGUUUAAGUCUGUUGUGAAAGCCCUGGGCUCAACCUGGGAACUGCAGUGGAAACUGGACGACUAGAGUGUGGUAGAGGGUAGCGGAAUUCCUGGUGUAGCAGUGAAAUGCGUAGAGAUCAGGAGGAACAUCCAUGGCGAAGGCAGCUACCUGGACCAACACUGACACUGAGGCACGAAAGCGUGGGGAGCAAACAGG
rnacentral:rRNA from 1 species